UUGGCUCAGCUGGAUAGAGCAACGGCCUUCUAAGCCGUAGGUCAUAGGUUCGAAUCCUAUA
rnacentral:tRNA from 1 species